UGCAGUCGUACGCUUCUUUUUCCACCGGAGCUUGCUCCACCGGAAAAAGAAGAGUGGCGAACGGGUGAGUAACACGUGGGUAACCUGCCCAUCAGAAGGGGAUAACACUUGGAAACAGGUGCUAAUACCGUAUAACAAUCGAAACCGCAUGGUUUUGAUUUGAAAGGCGCUUUCGGGUGUCGCUGAUGGAUGGACCCGCGGUGCAUUAGCUAGUUGGUGAGGUAACGGCUCACCAAGGCUACGAUGCAUAGCCGACCUGAGAGGGUGAUCGGCCACAUUGGGACUGAGACACGGCCCAAACUCCUACGGGAGGCAGCAGUAGGGAAUCUUCGGCAAUGGACGAAAGUCUGACCGAGCAACGCCGCGUGAGUGAAGAAGGUUUUCGGAUCGUAAAACUCUGUUGUUAGAGAAGAACAAGGAUGAGAGUAACUGUUCAUCCCUUGACGGUAUCUAACCAGAAAGCCACGGCUAACUACGUGCCAGCAGCCGCGGUAAUACGUAGGUGGCAAGCGUUGUCCGGAUUUAUUGGGCGUAAAGCGAGCGCAGGCGGUUUCUUAAGUCUGAUGUGAAAGCCCCCGGCUCAACCGGGGAGGGUCAUUGGAAACUGGGAGACUUGAGUGCAGAAGAGGAGAGUGGAAUUCCAUGUGUAGCGGUGAAAUGCGUAGAUAUAUGGAGGAACACCAGUGGCGAAGGCGGCUCUCUGGUCUGUAACUGACGCUGAGGCUCGAAAGCGUGGGGAGCAAACAGGAUUAGAUACCCUGGUAGUCCACGCCGUAAAACGAUGAGUGCUAAGUGUUGGAGGGUUUCCGCCCUUCAGUGCUGCAGCUAACGCAUUAAGCACUCCGCCUGGGGAGUACGACCGCAAGGUUGAAACUCAAAGGAAUUGACGGGGGCCCGCACAAGCGGUGGAGCAUGUGGUUUAAUUCGAAGCAACGCGAAGAACCUUACCAGGUCUUGACAUCCUUUGACCAC
rnacentral:rRNA from 1 species